rnacentral:rRNA from 1 species
UUCGCCCUUUUCCGGUUGAUCCUGCCGGACCCGACUGCUAUCAGAGUGAGAUUAAGCCAUGCGAGUUAACGUAGCAAUACGUGGCGCACGGCUCAGUAACACGUAGUCAACAUGCCCAGAGGACGUGGAUAACCUCGGGAAACUGAGUCUAAACCGCGAUAAGUGAGGAUUUCUGGAAUGGAUCCUGACUAAAAUCUAUAUGGCCUCUGGAUUGGACUGCGGCCGAUCAGGCUGUUGGUGAGGUAAUGGCCCACCAAACCUGUAACCGGUACGGGCUCUGAGAGGAGGAGCCCGGAGAUGGGCACUGAGACAAGGGCCCAGGCCCUAUGGGGCGCAGCAGGCGCGAAACCUCUGCAAUAGGCGAAAGCCUGACAGGGUUACUCUGAGUGACUUUCGCUAAGAAAGUCUUUUGGCACUUCUAAAAAGGGUGUAGAAUAAGGGGUGGGCAAGUCUGGUGUCAGCCGCCGCGGUAAUACCAGCACCCCGAGUGGUCGGGACGAUUAUUGGGCCUAAAGCAUCCGUAGCCGGUUCGGCAAGUCCUCCGUUAAAUCCAGCUGCUCAACAGAUGGGCCGCGGAGGAUACUACAGAGCUAGGAGGCAGGAGAGGCAAGCGGUACUCAGUGGGUAGGGGUAAAAUCCGUUGAUCCAUUGAAGACCACCAGUGGCGAAGGCGGCUUGCCAGAAUGCGCUCGACGGUGAGGGAUGAAAGCUGGGG